AACGAACGCUGGCGGCAUGCCUAACACAUGCAAGUCGAACGAGACCUUCGGGUCUAGUGGCGCACGGGUGCGUAACACGUGGGAAUUUGCCUCGGGGUAUGGAAUAACUCAGGGAAACGUUGAGCUAAUACCAUAUAAUGUCUUCGGACCAAAGAUUUAUCGCCCUGAGAUAAGCCCGCGUAGGAUUAGCUAGUUGGUGGGGUAAAGGCUCACCAAGGCGACGAUCCUUAGCUGGUCUGAGAGGAUGAUCAGCCACACUGGGACUGAGACACGGCCCAGACUCCUACGGGAGGCAGCAGUGGGAAUAUUGGACAAUGGGCGAAGCCUGAUCCAGCAAUGCCGCCGUGAGUGAUGAAGGCCUUCGGGUUGUU
rnacentral:rRNA from 1 species